UCCCAACACGUCUCAAUAUCUUUCUUUCGAAAACUUCUAUUUCCGUUGCCACUGUUGGGGAAAUAGAGAACCAUAUUGGAAAUCCAUACACGAGAACGGAGCGUAUUGCAACUUUGUAAAGAAGCAUCUUAGUUUUCUGAGGGUAUUUCGUCCAAGUAGAUUAAAUUUAUGUAGCUUAUUAAAUGUGAUGCCAAGAUAUUUUAUACUCGAUUUGAAGGGGAUUUCUAUUCCAUCUAAAACAAGUUGAAGCUGUUUACUUUGGGCAUUUUUCGGAAGCAUUUUUUAUGCAAAUGGCUUCGGACUUGGCUGCGUUGAUCUUUAUUCCCCAUUUCUUACAAAAUUGGUUUAUCACUUCCAGAAAGGGGAAAUUUUCCGUUGCUGACCGUUAUUUUUUGUUUGUGUCUGACGAUGGUAAUGUAUGCUGUACUAAGGAGUCGAAAUCUGCUCGAAAAUUGUCCCAAUUGUUUCAGUGCUAGUUUUAAUGGAAAAUGAUCGGAGAAUGUUGGUAGAGAAGAGAUUCUGAAGUUGGGAGAAAAGAAGUCAACUAAAUUUGGACUGAUUAGGAAAUAGUCUAGAUAUGAUGGACCAUUCGGAGUCUCACCAAGAAGGACUUCUCGAGUUGAAAUCACCACCCAGGAUAAAACCAUAGAAAUUUGAACAUAGACGCAGUAUUUUUUCCAAAUCUGACUCCAGCUACAGUGAAGGAUAGUUGCAAGGAAUAUAUAUGGAUCCCAGGGCAUAUAUUUUGGACAAACCAUUAUGUUUUGCUACUAUUUGUAUUAUGUAGAUAUUGACUCUCACGUCAUUUGUAACAAUUCUAGUAUAAUGGAUCGAUCUUUUAAUAAAUAUGGCGACUCCAACAUUUGAGUGAUCAAAAAUAGCAUUAUA